AUUGAACGCUGGCGGCAGGCUUAACACAUGCAAGUCGAGCGGGGGAGGUUGCUUCGGUAACUGACCUAGCGGCGGACGGGUGAGUAAUGCUUAGGAAUCUGCCUAUUAGUGGGGGACAACAUUCCGAAAGGGAUGCUAAUACCGCAUACGCCCUACGGGGGAAAGCAGGGGAUCUUCGGACCUUGCGCUAAUAGAUGAGCCUAAGUCGGAUUAGCUAGUUGGUGGGGUAAAGGCCUACCAAGGCGACGAUCUGUAGCGGGUCUGAGAGGAUGAUCCGCCACAAUGGGACUUGGACCCGGCCCAGACUCCUACGGGAGGCAGCAGUGGGGAAUAUUGGACAAUGGGCGGAAGCCUGAUCCAGCCAUGCCGCGUGUGUGAAGAAGGCCUUUUGGUUGUAAAGCACUUUAAGCGAGGAGGAGGCUCUUAAGGUUAAUACCCUUGAUGAGUGGACGUUACUCGCAGAAUAAGCACCGGCUAACUCUGUGCCAGCCGCCGCCGUAAGAC
rnacentral:rRNA from 1 species